AUUGAACGCUGGCGGCAGGCCUAACACAUGCAAGUCGAGCGGACGAGGGGUGCUUGCACCCCGAUUCAGCGGCGGACGGGUGAGUAAUGCCUAGGAAUCUGCCCGGUAGUGGGGGACAACGUUUCGAAAGGAACGCUAAUACCGCAUACGUCCUACGGGAGAAAGUGGGGGACCUUCGGGCCUCACGCUAACAGAUGAGCCUAGGUCGGAUUAGCUGGUUGGUGGGGUAACGGCCCACCAAGGCGACGAUCCGUAACUGGUCUGAGAGGAUGAUCAGUCACACUGGAACUGAGACACGGUCCAGACUCCUACGGGAGGCAGCAGUGGGGAAUAUUGGACAAUGGGCGAAAGCCUGAUCCAGCCAUGCCGCGUGUGUGAAGAAGGUCUUCGGAUUGUAAAGCACUUUAAGUCGGGAGGAAGGGCUGUAGGCGAAUACCCUGCAGUCUUGACGUUACCGACAGAAUAAGCACCGGCUAACUUCGUGC
rnacentral:rRNA from 1 species